ACGCACGUCUCUACGCUCCGACCGUCAGCUGGCGAGUUUCAUUUCAUCGCACAAGAGCGCGACGGGAAACGUGCAGCGUUGGAGUUUCUCGAUAACAUUGAUUUAUUUAAGGAUGACGCGAACCGAUGGAGAGACCGAAACUGGUUUGGCGUCUCCGUAAGAGCGGCUCACGUCUCCAAGCACUGACAAUCAGCACCAUAAGCAGACGUGUGUUUAUCACUGUGACUUCAGCAUGUGAAGAUAUCAUUUUGACAAAGAUUUGAUCAUGACAGACCCUGGAGAAACUCUGUGAGCUUUAAACACAUCAACCAAUAAAUAGCAGUAAAACACAAA